UACGUAGGGCGCAAGCGUUGUCCGGAAUUAUUGGGCGUAAAGAGCUCGUAGGCGGUUUGUCGCGUCUGCUGUGAAAACCUAAGGCUCAACCUUGGGCUUGCAGUGGGUACGGGCAGACUAGAGUGCGGUAGGGGUGACUGGAAUUCCUGGUGUAGCGGUGGAAUGCGCAGAUAUCAGGAGGAACACCAAUGGCGAAGGCAGCUCGCUGGAACGGUACUGACGCUGAGGCGCGAAAGCGUGGGGAGCGAACAGG
rnacentral:rRNA from 1 species